CUCAACUCCCGCGGGUGGCCCGGCGAGGGAAGGAGCCGAGUUCGGUUUCCUCAAAAUUAUAAAAGCAGGAAAACUCAAGACAAAGAAAUCCAACAAGGCUAGUGAUUUCAGCGAUAUGGAGAAUUGGCCAACGCCAAGUGAAUCAGCGAACACUGGAUUUCAGAGUGUCCUCAGCCAAAGAAAUAAAAAGCUACAAAAUAGAAAAGAAAAAGAAGAGAAGGUUGAAAAGAGAAGUAACAAUGAGAGCAAAGAAAAUCGGGAAACAAAGUUAAAUGGUCCUGGUGAAAAUGUCAGUGAGGAUGAGGCUCAGUCAAGUAAUCAACGAAAGAGAGCUAAUAAGCGUAAGUGGGUACCACUCUACUUAGAUGAUGUAAGAUCAGAGAGUCAAGGAAGACCUGGAUCCCGGAACAGCUGAAGAUGUCAACCUGAAGCAAAUAAACCAACACAUAACAAUAGGAGAAAUGAUACACGAAAUUGGAGGCGAGACAGAGAAAAAAAGAGAUGAUCAAGAUGAAGUUUCCAGUGUGAGAAGUGAGGGUGGUAAUAGCCGAGGUUCCUUUAGAGGUCGAGGAAGAGGCGGAGGAUGGGGAAGAGGACCAGGCAGAGGAAAUCCUCGACUGAACUUUGACUAUUCAUAUGGUUGUCAAGAACAUGGUGAAAGGACUGAUUGACCAUUUCAAACAGGACGUAAUACCAGCAUGAUGUAUUACUAUGAUGAUGGUACAGGUGUACAGGUGUAUCCUGUGGAAGAAGCAUUGCUUAAAGAGUAUAUUAAGCGUCAAAUUGAAUAUUACUUCAGUGUAGAAAAUUUGGAACGAGACUUCUUUCUUCGGGGAAAGAUGGAUGAACAAGGUUUCUUGCCUAUUUCCCUGAUUGCUGGUUUUCAGCGUGUUCAGGCUCUCACUACAAACUUUAAUCUCAUCUUAGAAGCACUGAAGGAUAGCACAGAAGUAGAAAUUGUGGAUGAGAAAAUGAGAAAAAAGAUAGAACCAGAAAAGUGGCCAGUUCCAGGCCCUCUUCCACGCAAUGUGCCACCAACAGACUUCUCUCAACUGAUUGAUUGUCCAGAGUUUGUACCAGGCCAAGCCUUUUGCUCAUAUCCAGUCAGGGUGAUGAUCUUCUUAAGCUCUUGGAUGUCAUUUGAUCAGAAUAUGCAGUGGAAUAGAUGACUCAUUGAAAUGCCAUUAUAAAUACUGGAACAAAUCCUGCUGCAAAAAUGAAAGCGAUCAGACUGUCUUCUGUUCAAGAAUGUCUAUUCCCACCUCCUGGUGGAGGAAGUUGGGCCAACACUGCAGUGGAGAUAACCACCUUUGCGAUAAUGAGAGACAGACCAGAGGACUGCUACUCUUUUUAUAGGAGCUGCCUAUUUCUGUGUAAUUGGCCUGGGCUGCAUGGGCUGCUUUUAUUCAUGGUGGAAAAGUUAAUUGUUACUAUUCUGGAAAUACCGCAAGAGUAUGUUUUCUGUUUCCAGGGUUAUGUACUUGUGUCCAGAUGAAUAAAGCAGAAAAAGGGGAUUGAGUAGCAUUUCCCAGAUUCUUAAGUACUUUGCUAUUUGAUUUGCCUUUCAGUGUAGUGUACAUUGCAAAACUCAGAUGUUGUCAUGAUGUUUCACUUGGACAUAAGACUUAUUAAUGUGGACACUUAAGGGGUAAGGAAUUUAAGAACUGGAUGAAGAUAUUUCUUCCUUUACUCUUCAAAAUGUAUUUUUGAUACAUCAGUAUGAGAGAACGUCCGAUCAACAAAGCGUCGAUGAUGGACAGUCUCACAGUAUUUUUAUCUUAUGCUUCUUUGUCAGGCUUCUGCUUCUAAUCCCAGUAAGCAAGUUGGACAGGCAUUUUAAAAGCUGAAGAAAAGUGACAUUAUUUUAGCUAAUGGUUUUUAAUUUAUUUUUUGUUAAGAUAUAAUGGGUGAUUAUAUAAGUUAGAUUUAUCUAUUGUAUCAACUUGGGUCCAAGAUGACAGUUUUAGCCAACUUGUGAACAGGCACUGGGUAAGUUAGCUAAAAUAACAUAUACUUUCUCUACAGGGUAGGUAAGAUAGGUCAGUCAGGUUGGUAACCGUUUAUGCAUACUAAUCUGUCCAUUAACCAUCCAUUAACCGUUUAUGCAUACUAAUAAAAUUAUAAGAAUAAUAAUAAAAAAAGA